UACGGGGGGGGCAAGCGUUGUUCGGAAUUACUGGGCGUAAAGGGCUCGUAGGCGGCCAACUAAGUCAGACGUGAAAUCCCUCGGCUUAACCGGGGAACUGCGUCUGAUACUGGAUGGCUUGAGAUUGGGAGAGGGAUGCGGAAUUCCAGGUGUAGCGGUGAAAUGCGUAGAUAUCAGGAGGAACACCGGUGGCGAAGGCGGGUCUCUGGGCCGUAACUGACGCUGAGGAGCGAAAGCGUGGGGAGCGAACAGG
rnacentral:rRNA from 1 species